UGGUGGUUGGUUGUUUCUUUAAAAGAGGAUCUUAAAUCCAGGUGCUUCUUUGCAGGGUCAACUCCAAAGUUCUGCAGGGCACUGUACGUGGCACGUGACAGAGCAAGCCAAAAACAAAUGUCCAACGUGCAAGUUGUGAUACUUCAAGUCAAAACAUGCCCCUGUGCUGGAUUUCUAGAUCUUGGAAAGGAAGUGCAUGAGAGGUAAUACUGUGUGAGAUUGGUGUCUGAAGCUGUGGAGCAGGAA
ensembl:lncRNA